UUGAGCAUUUGUAAGUGCAGAAUUGGUAAUUGUCCAAUUUAUGAACACCGACAGAAGGGAUCGGCAGGUGGGUGGAGAAAAGCUAGACGGGUGAUUGAGUUCGACGAUUUAGUUAGAAAUUUAGCUCACUGCAAGGAAUGUCGUCUUGGACCUUUAUUCUCACAAGCGACAACAUUGUGGGGGAGCUGCAAAAUGGCUUGGGUGGCUAUCUGUACGUUAUGUGUUCGAAUUUAGAGUGAGGAGCUGUAAAUUUGGUUUCAUAUGGAACAACACACCACAACAAAACGAAGGGGAUGUCCUGCUUUGAAAUAAACACAAAGCUUUGAUUUGCAAUGAUUGACAGCAUUGAUCUUAAGCUGAUAAGCCUAGAAAAUCUGAAGGAAAUGGAGAGAAGGGCUGGUGAAGUGAUAGAAGCUGUCUCAUCAGAAUCACAGAGACGGUCAGCUGAAGAGGCUUACAAAUAAAGAAAUGGAGUAUUGGUCAUACAGCAGACCCAGAUAUACAGACCUUACCAGAUGCAGUUUCUAAGGGAAAGUUCAAGCCAGUAAAGACAGAAAAUCCUACAUUUAUAACAUUUGAUUUGGAAACUACAGAUCUAAUUCGAGGUUCACAGAUGCCAGAUGCCACAUAUAACACAGAUUGCAGCUAAAGAAAUUAAGACUGCUGCUUCAUUUAAUCAAUAUUUAAUUCCUCCAAUGCCAAUAGCAGUAGAACCUCAACGAAUAACUGGCAUAAAAUUCACUGAUGAUGGUUAUAUGACAAAUUCACUGAUGAUGGUUAUAUGACUGUACAUUAUCAUAGUGAACAUGUUAAUAAAUGUACAUGAAUCUUUAGAUAAUAAAAUAAAUAAAUACAAGGGAUGAUCUUGGAUUUGCAUGUAAGAUCAAAAUGUAUUUCAUAAAGUUAACGUCAGAUGUAACAUUUUUAUUAGUGGCAUAGCCAUGAGUUUUAGUAUAAAAGCUAAUGCUAAUGAGUAGAAUACACAUACCCAUCGAUACUAGUAUAAUUUUAUCUAACAUGUGAAGUACCGGUAAACAAUAUUUAUGUUUAUUCUGUGACUCUGUGACUGUUUAGUCAUUUUAUUGCUUUUUACAUGAUAGGGUCAUUUAAAUUUAUUGUGAAAUGGAAGUUUCGUCCGUUAUGAGCAACCAGAACUGGAUCGGGAACUUCCUGAUGUCAUCAAAUCAUGACAUCAUAAUGUUCAUGUUAAAAAUAUUUGUGUUAAAAGUAAAUCUAUAACAGUAUCAAGAUUUUGAGAAUGUGAUGUAUGCAAAUUUAUAAUAUACUAACUUCAUAAAAAUGGUAUUGUAUAUGACUGUGCAUAUAUUUAGAUCUGAUGUCAUUUCUGUUAUACAAACAUAAAGACACCAUAAAUGUUAGAGUUACAUUUAAGGCGCAUCAAUGGAGAUUUUUUUUUUUUUUUAUUUUAAACAGUCUUUAUUUUGUGCAUGUGAUACAUAGAAUAUUAUAUUUAUGUAGGUUCGUUACUGCAUUGAUUCAAUUCGUUGAAUGUAAUAAUAAUUUGCUCACCAGUACUAAAUUCAGUAUUGAACAUUGAACACUCCUUCAAUAUCCUCUAUAUAUCAGCUUUUGUGUUAUUAUGUUCUGAUAUUUUGGAAGUGAAAUUAUUUAAAUAUUAUUUCAAUAUUUUACUGAGAGGAUGCAAUGAAUUCAAGUAGUUUCUUGUGAUGAAAUAGUUAUAAUUGUAAUAAAUUUCAAUAAUUUUCCUGUUAGAUUUUGGAAGUUAAGCAAUGAAAUUUUUGAGAAUGUGAACAUGACAAAUAUUAUAAAACAAUAUUUGAAUAUUUCAUUUUAAUGACUGUACAUUUAUUAAGAUAGCCUCUGUUUAGAAAAACACAUAAAUAAUCAUAUUUUACAAAAUCUGCUGUUUUCCAAGAGAAAAGUAAGACAGGUAACAGCUAUGCUGUACA